UACAGAGGGUGCAAGCGUUGUUCGGAAUUAUUGGGCGUAAAGCGCGUGUAGGCGGCUUUGCAAGUCGGGUGUGAAAGCCCUCAGCUCAACUGAGGAAGUGCGCCCCGAAAACUGCAGAGCUUGAGUACCGGAGAGGAUGGUGGAAUUCCCCAAGUAGAGGUGAAAAUUCGUAGAUAUGGGGGAGGAACACCGGUGGCGAAGGCGACCAUCUGGACGGAUACUGACGCUGAGACGCGAAAAGCGUGGGGGAGCAAACAGG
rnacentral:rRNA from 1 species